CCUACGGGUGGCUGCAGUGAGGAAUAUUGGUCAAUGGGCGCUAGCCUGAACCAGCCAAGUAGCGUGAAGGAUGACUGCCAUCUGGGCUGUAAACUUCUUUUAUAUGGGAAUAAAGUGCAGUAUGUAUACUGCUUUGCAUGUACCUUAUGAAUAAGGAUCGGCUAACUCCGUGCCAGCAGCCGCGGUAAUACGGAGGAUCCGAGCGUUAUCCGGAUUUAUUGGGUUUAAGGGGAGCGUAGGCGGGUUGUUAAGUCAGUUGUGAAAGUUUGCGGCGCAACCGUAAAAUUGCAGUUGAUACUGGCAGCCUGGAGUGCAGGAGAGGUAGGCGGAAUUCGUGGUGUAGCGGUGAAAUGCGUAGAUAUCACGAAGAACACCGAUGGCGAAGGCAGCCUGCUGGACUGUAACUGACGCUGAUGCUCGAAAGUGUGGGGAUCAAACAGGAUUAGAUACCCCUGUAGUC
rnacentral:rRNA from 1 species